GGGUGAAGGAUAAAAAGCAAAGUCCUCAGCCAAUGCAGAAACAAGUGAUCCAGUCCCCUUAUGAUAACAGCUGCAGCCCUUAGAAUCGUUAUCCUGACCCAAUGAAGGAAAAGUGUUGAGCAAAAUGGGGUGAAGCAGCAAAGUUAUAUCCAGUUGGACAACUAGGUAGAACAACUAGGUGCUGAUCCUUAUCACCAGUAGGUGUGGCUGGAAGCUGUGAGUCAGGAGAGUUUCUUCCGGAUAGAACUCCGUUGGGUUGCCUCAUUUUAGCAAAAAUGCUGCAGCUCAACCGCCUAUGUUUACAGAGCAGCCCUGGGAGUGCUUGGAGGUAAUUCUCACUGGGAACUCCUUGUUCUCAGCAUAACUUAGGCUAUGACUUACGGUGAAAUUAUAACUACUGCUUUCUCCUCAUUUCAGACUAUCUCAUCGGCACUAUCUCAUUAAAAGAAGCCACUUCUCCCUGACCUUCCCUCUGUUCUGCUCACCAUGAAUAUUUCUCCAAGCAUUUUGUCCUCGAUCUCUAUGAACCACAAUGACUAUCAAAGAAUGAAUCAAGAAUGAGAGGACAGAAUCUGAGAUCCUAGAGACCAGGGUCUUCAUUAAGCAUUGGAAAAUUCCAAAGAUCUCAGCAAUGAUGGGAUGAUGAGAUGGUGAUUCUUUGGGGAUCUGCAGUUUCACCUUCAAUAAGACCUUGAGCAAUUCAAAGCCUGUGAGAUGUAACCUGUUAGGGCUCAGCACAGCUGGGAAUCCAGAGACGUCAAAGUCUGCUGGCAGGUGAACGGCUGGCCUGUUACAAGACAACCUGAAGAAACAGGGCAGGGGAGCCAGAAACAACAAGCCCAGGAUUGCUACAGUUGUCUUCCUUAGGAGUUCUGCCAGCUCAGAUUGUGGAAGGACUGGGGAAGAGGCUGGGGUUUUAUAAGCAAGUGAGACAAUAAAAA
rnacentral:lncRNA from 1 species